GUGCUUGCUUUAACAGCACAUAUACUAAAAUUGGAAUGACAGGGAGAAGAUUAGCAUGGUCCCUGUGCAAGGAUGACAUACAAAUUCAUGAAACAUUCUGUAUUUUU
rnacentral:snRNA from 1 species